AGGAAUUUAGACAUAUAUACUAGUCCUUUCCCCACGGAGACAUGGUGUGCAAUGGUUGCAGAUGGUAGCCUCCUUGGUAGUGUAUGGAGCCUGUUGCCUAUAUGGGUUGCCCUGAAGGACCCUGGAGACAAUU